rnacentral:rRNA from 1 species
AUUGAACGCUGGCGGCAGGCCUAACACAUGCAAGUCGAGCGGAUGAAGGGAGCUUGCUCCUGGAUUCAGCGGCGGACGGGUGAGUAAUGCCUAGGAAUCUGCCUUGUAGUGGGGGAUAACGUCCGUAAACGGGCGCUAAUACCGCAUACGUCCUGAUGUAGAAAGUGGGGGAUCUUCGGACCUCACGCUAUCAGAUGAGCCUAGGUCGCAUUAGCUAGUUGGUGGGGUAAAGGCCUACCAAGGCGACGAUCCGUAACUGGUCUGAGAGGAUGAUCAGUCACACUGGAACUGAGACACGGUCCAGACUCCUACGGGAGGCAGCAGUGGGGAAUAUUGGACAAUGGGCGAAAGCCUGAUCGAGCCAUGCCGCGUGUGUGAAGAAGGUCUUCGGAUUGUAAAGCACUUUAAGUUGGGAGGAAGGGAAGUAAGAUAAUCCCUUGCUGUUUUGACGUUACCAAAAGAAUAAGCACCGGCUAACUUCGUG